UAUGGGUCCCUAGCAAGGCAGCAUUCUGCACAUGCUUUCCCGUAGACAUCACAUCGGUGCAGGGGAAGCUGUGAGACUCCAAUAGAUGAGCCAAUAUAGAGCUGUUGCUAUGUAAGCAGAGAGAAGAAGGAAAGGUGAUAAACUGCAAGGGAAGAGGCCCCAAACAAAAUAUUUCAUGUCAAACAUGUUCAUUUUGGGAAAAUUUCCAAUAUACAGUGAGGUUUCCAGCUGGACUGUAUAGAAGUCGAUUUACGUCUUUUCCCAUCAAAAGCUGUAUCGACGACCUUCAUUACAUACAUCCUUGUUUUAAUUUCCUUUUAAAAUACAAUACAAAGGAUCACAAA